CGUGUAGGCGGUUUGGCAAGUCGAGUGUGAAAUCCCACGGCUCAACCGUGGAACUGCGCCCGAAACUGCCUUACUUGAGUGCGGGAGAGGUGUGCGGAAUUCCUGGUGUAGCGGUGGAAUGCGUAGAUAUCAGGAAGAACACCGGUGGCGAAGGCGGCACACUGGCCCAGCACUGACGCUGAGGCGCGAAAGCGUGGGGAGCGAACG
rnacentral:rRNA from 1 species